AGGCGGCUUGCUGGGCUUUUACUGACGCUGAGGCUCGAAAGUGUGGGGAGCAAACAGGAUUAGAUACCCUGGUAGUCCACACUGUAAACGAUGAUUACUAGGUGUGGGAGGUCUGACCCCUUCCGUGCCGCAGUUAACGCAAUAAGUAAUCCACCUGGGGAGUACGACCGCAAGGUUGAAACUCAAAGGAAUUGACGGGGGCCCGCACAAGCAGUGGAUUAUGUGGUUUAAUUCGAAGCAACGCGAAGAACCUUACCAGGUCUUGACAUCGAGUGACGAGUUUAGAGAUAAGCUUUUCCUUCGGGACACGAAGACAGGUGGUGCAUGGUUGUCGUCAGCUCGCGUCGUGAGAUGUUGGGUUAAGUCCCGCAACGAGCGCAACCCCUGCCAUUAGUUGCUACGCAAGAGCACUCUAAUGGGACCGCUACCGACAAGGUGGAGGAAGGUGGGGACGACGUCAAAUCAUCAUGCCCCUUAUGACCUGGGCUACACACGUAAUACAAUGGCCGUCAACAGAGGGAAGCAAAAUCGCGAGAUGGAGCAAACCCCUAAAAACGGUCUCAGUUCGGAUCGCAGGCUGCAACCCGCCUGCGUGAAGUU
rnacentral:rRNA from 1 species